rnacentral:misc_RNA from 1 species
AACCUUAUGGACCUGCGGGCGUAUACCUGCGGAGGGAUCAUUAACCUUUCAAAUCAGGGUGCGGCGCGGCCCCCGAGGAGCGGAAACAAUCCUUGGGAGGUAUGCGGGGGCUUCGAGCCCCCCAUUUACGCACGCACGACUGCCAUCCUUACUUUACGAGCACCUUCUGUUCUCCCUCGGCGGGGCAACCUGCCGUUGGAACCGAAUAAACUCUUUUUGCAUCUAGCAUACCUGUUCCGA